GACGAACGCUGGCGGCGUGCUUAACACAUGCAAGUCGAACGGUAAGGCCCUUCGGGGUACACGAGUGGCGAACGGGUGAGUAACACGUGGGUGAUCUGCCCUGCACUUCGGGAUAAGCCUGGGGAACUGGGUCUAAUACCGGACAGGACCACUGCCUGCAUGGGUGGUGGUGGAAAGCUUUUGCGGUGUGGGAUGGGCCCGCGGCCUAUCAGCGUGUUGGUGGGGUGAUGGCCUACCAAGGCGACGACUGGUAGCCGGCCUGAGAGGGUGACCGGCCACACUGGGACUGAGAUACGGCCUAGACUCCUACGGGAGGCAGCAGUGGGGAAUAUUGCACAAUGGGCGCAAGCCUGAUGCAGCGACGCCGCGUGAGGGAUGACGGCCUUCGGGUUGUAAACCUCUUUCAGCACCGACGAAGCGCAAGUGACGGUAGGUGCGGAAGAAGGACCGGCCAACUACGUGCCAGCCGCCGCCGUAA
rnacentral:rRNA from 1 species